rnacentral:rRNA from 1 species
UGCCAGACUCCUACGGGAGGCAGCAGUGGGGAAUAUUGGGCAAUGGGCGCAAGCCUGACCCAGCAACGCCGCGUGAAGGAAGAAGGCUUUCGGGUUGUAAACUUCUUUUAAGAGGGAAGAGUAGAAGACGGUACCUCUUGAAUAAGCCACGGCUAACUACGUGCCAGCAGCCGCGGUAAUACGUAGGUGGCAAGCGUUGUCCGGAUUUACUGGGUGUAAAGGGCGUGUAGCCGGGCCGGCAAGUCAGAUGUGAAAUCCCAAGGCUCAACCUUGGAACUGCAUUUGAAACUGUUUUUCUUGAGUACUGGAGAGGCAGACGGAAUUCCUUGUGUAGCGGUGAAAUGCGUAGAUAUAAGGAGGAACACCAGUGGCGAGGGCGGUCUGCUGGACAGCAACUGACGGUGAGGCGCGAAAGCGUGGGGAGCAAACAGGAUUAGAUACCCCCGUA